rnacentral:tRNA from 1 species
UGGCUUGUAGCUCAACGGUGAGAGCAGCUGCCUUAUACGCAGAAGGUUGUGAGUUCGAUCCUCGCCAGGCCAACCC